GAUGAACGCUGGCGGCGUGCCUAAUACAUGCAAGUCGAGCGAACAGACGAGGAGCUUGCUCCUCUGACGUUAGCGGCGGACGGGUGAGUAACACGUGGAUAACCUACCUAUAAGACUGGGAUAACUUCGGGAAACCGGAGCUAAUACCGGAUAAUAUAUUGAACCGCAUGGUUCAAUAGUGAAAGACGGUUUUGCUGUCACUUCUAGAUGGAUCCGCGCCGCAUUAGCUAGUUGGUAAGGUAACGGCUUACCAAGGCGACUAUGCGUAGCCGACCUGAGGGGGUGAUCGGCCACACUGGAGCUGAGACACGGUCCAGACUCCUACGGUAGGCAGCAGUAGGGAAUCUUCCGCAAUGGGCGAAAGCCUGACGGAGCAACGCCGCGUGAGUGAUGAAGGUCUUCGGAUCGUAAAACUCUGUUAUUAGGGAAGAACAAAUGUGUAAGUAACUAUGCACGUCUUGACGGUACCUAAUCAGAAAGCCACGGCUAACUACGUG
rnacentral:rRNA from 1 species